rnacentral:rRNA from 1 species
AAUCAACGCUGGCGGCGUGCCUCAGACAUGCAAGUCGAACGAUUAAAGCUCUCUUCGGAGAGUGCAUAAAGUGGCGCACGGGUGAGUAACACGUAAGUAAUCUACCUUCGAGUGGGGAAUAACGUCCGGAAACGGACGCUAAUACCGCAUAACGCAGCGGCAUCGCAAGAUGACAGUUGUUAAAGAUUUAUCGCUUGAAGAGGAGCUUGCGGCAGAUUAGCUUGUUGGUAAGGUAACGGCUUACCAAGGCUACGAUCUGUAUCCGGUCUAAGAGGACGGUCGGACACACUGGCACUGAAUAACGGGUCAGACUCCUACGGGAGGCAGCAGUCGGGAAUUUGGGCAAUGGGGGAAACCCUGACCCAGCAACGCCGCGUGAAGGAUGAAGUAUUUCGG